CCCAACAUGUACCCGUGAUCACAUGUCCCAAGCGCGAGACAGGCAACAGCUGGAAGAUCUCCCGGAGACCUCCGUCACGGGAAACUCAACAGGGCAAAAGGGUAGUAACCACAAAAGGAGAAACAAUCAAAUGCAACAUGCCUACAGUAUGUCUACACAUGAAAUCACCCAUGCACAGUCAAGAGGAAGGAAAUGCAAGAAUUCUACUGCACGCAAAAGAAGCAAGUCAAGCUGUACAUAAGUCCAUCAUUAUUAGGACAGUUAACACAUACUGUAUGUUGUAGUACUCUUCCUUGUAUUGUUCACUUACAUACAGGCCGAUUUUAUGUGGAUUGCAUUUGGACCUGGAAAGAAUUCUGAAUACAUUCCAAUUAAUCUCCUAUUUAGCAAGCUUGGAAUCAAAAAAGCGGAGUCUCUUUCAUUUUUCCACGCAUUCACUGGAAGUGACACAACUUCCUAAUUUGCGCAAUAAAUUGGUUUGGGAAGCAUUCAAGUCUCCCAGAAAUUAUGCACAAAUUCCAGCUCUUAGCAGUCUACUGAUGUUGAGGUUUUGUGGAAGAACUCGAAAAAAAAAUCUUGUUUUGUUUUAUGAUAAGUUGUCAUCUCACUGCACAGUAAAUGUGUGUAGGAAAGAAUUCCAUACUAAAAAUGGACAUUACAUUAACAGACUGCCACCAACCAAAUCCGCUUUAUUUCAGCAUGACCUUAGGAGUAUCUAUCAAGCUGGAUACUGCUGGGGACAGUGCUUGAUAAAACAAACUUUCUUACCUGAUCCAGGUCUUUGGAGCUGGCAAAUAAAAAAAUAAAAAAUCUACCUGGGAGCCCACGUGAACCUCUCUCCCUCAGGCAUCCCUGGCUUGUAAGAAAUUACUCAGUUGUUCCUGUAAAACCUGCAGCAUCAGCUGUUAUAAGUUCAAAAAGGCAUUGCUAAAAUGUACAAUGCUUUGUAAAUGUAUUGACUGUGAAAAUGAAAAUUAAAGAGCUGUACAUGUUGAUAGUGGUGAUGACCAUUCUGAUUAUUAACAGUUCAUUUUGUUGCAUUGCAAUAGCUCUUAUAAAAUAUUAGAAAUAAUUUUGAUUUAACUUGUUAUAUUUAGGUGUUUAAAAAUGAGCUACAAAAUAAAAUUAUUUUCAAUCAA